rnacentral:rRNA from 1 species
AGUGAACGCUGGCGGUAGGCCUAACACAUGCAAGUCGAACGGCAGCACAGUAAGGGCUUGCUCUUACGGGUGGCGAGUGGCGGACGGGUGAGGAAUACAUCGGAAUCUACUUUUUCGUGGGGGAUAACGUAGGGAAACUUACGCUAAUACCGCAUACAACCUACGGGUGAAAGCAGGGGAUCUUCGGACCUUGCGCGAUUGAAUGAGCCGAUGUCGGAUUAGCUAGUUGGCGGGGUAAAGGCCCACCAAGGCGACGAUCCGUAGCUGGUCUGAGAGGAUGAUCAGCCACACUGGAACUGAGACACGGUCCAGACUCCUACGGGAGGCAGCAGUGGGGAAUAUUGGACAAUGGGCGCAAGCCUGAUCCAGCCAUACCGCGUGGGUGAAGAAGGCCUUCGGGUUGUAAAGCCCUUUUGUUGGGAAAGAAAAGCAGCAGGUUAAUACCCCGCUGUUCUGACGGUACCCAAAGAAUAAGCACCGGCUAACUUCGUG